GAUGAAGAACGCAGCGAAAUGCGAUACUUGGUGUGAAUUGCAGAAUCCCGUGAACCAUCGAGUCUUUGAACGCAAGUUGCGCCUCAAGCCAUUAGGUUGAGGGCACGUCUGCCUGGGCGUCACAUAUCGUUGCCUGAUGCCAGUUUCCUCGUGAUGGGUGACUGUGCAGGGCGAAUGAUGGCUUCCAGUGAGCAUUGUUGCCUCAUGGUUGGUUGAAAAUUGAGUCCUUGGUAGGGAGCGCCGUGAUAGAUGGUGGUUGAGUGACGAACGAGACCCAAUCAUGUGAGACCCCUACCGAAUUUGGCCUUCAUAACCCACAUGCGUCUUUGGAACGCUCAUGACGAGACCUCAGGUCAGGCGGGGCUACCCGCUGAGUUUAAGCAUAUCAAUAAGCGGAGGA
rnacentral:misc_RNA from 1 species